AUUCACCUCCGGUACGGUUAAUUGUACCCGAAGCGGUGUACUUUGAUCCGCAGAGGCCAUGCAUCGGACCACGGAUGCAUCGUGAUUGCGUGGAGAGAUAGUAUUUUCCUGGGAUAUACGGUUAUCAAAGAGUAGAGAGUAUGAUUUCUCUUUGCCUCGAGACAGAAACCGUAACUACAUAUGGGCUUAAUACACGGCAGAUGGCUGAGACAAAGUAAAUUGUCCCGGCACGUUAUUAGUGCAAGAUUGAUGCGCGUAUCGAGUCUUCCUUAAUAGAAUUAACCGUGGUGCAUAUGUUCCGUUAGGGAAUUCUGUGGUUCCACAUUGUCAUUUGAUAUAAUCUGAGAAAGAACAAUGACCAUAUUACGUUGCCAGUUUUAUCAUAUUUUUACAUAUCUAUAUGAAAGUGUUAUUGAUUAUAUAUAAACAAAUGUACGCUUCUUUGUAUAUUACGUAUUUCUUAAAAGUGUGAACCGACAAAAGAGAAUAAUAGUUUCAGGUGCUUAUUUCGAUGUGUCAGAACUUAAGAGAAUUAAUGACUCGUCGUUGUUCAUCUUUGACGACAGCUCAGCUUGCAGUUAAACAUGGCCAGGUGGUCAGUUUCUACAUGGUUUCUUUAACUCGAGGAAGACGUCGUACUGAUCUGUUCAACGAUUCCCAAGAUACAAGCUAGAAUCUUCUUAGAUGGAAAAGAAUAUCAAGUGGCAUGCAAAUCGCGUAAGACCGUAACAAGGAUACAUAAUGCUACGGGCGUAUAGAAUUCUUUUUCGUAUUCGUACUCGUUGCUCGUUACGAGAUAGAAGAAGAGGCGCCAAGCAGUAAUGUCGUAGAAAGAACGAUUAUGACACCGAUGACGACGACGACGACGACGACGACGACGACGACGACGACGAUGGCGGCUAUGUGACUCCCUGCUUUUCGUCUCAGAAAUUUAUUGCUCCGAGUUGUUGCGAUGCGCGCAAGUAGCACCUACAGGAGAGCAGAAAGAUUAUGGAAGAAAUAUUCGAUGAACAAAAGGAUAAAGAAAUAUUUGAUCAUCGUUUGACGCUUUUAAACUCUACCAUGAUGCGAUUAGGAGGGGAAGAACGCAUUGGUUAAAAAGAACGAAAGGCUCGAUAGUCAAAAAUUCGUUUUGAGACAGCGAGCUUAUCUCACCGAUCAGGGUCCGCCACGAAUUAUAAGAGAGGAACCUGCCGGCGCAGGAUCUCCGUUGGACCACACAUCGAACCUCUUGUCUGCAGGUUCAACGCACUCGCUGUAAUUACCACAAACGAACGCGAAGCUUCGUCGAGACACACAAGGUAUAUAAACUCGCGAGCAUGGACACGUCCGUGAAGUCACGUUGGCAUCGACGAAGUCUCCUCUCACAAUCAACGGUCUGCCAAUAACGAUACCGAGCACCAAUCCCGGCGAAUAACGAUCGAUUCGUUCGUCUUUCAAAAUACGAUAUGGAAAGAGAAAGAUAGAAAUAUCAAUGGGCAAAGAAUAGAAAAAAGAAUUUAUUAUUACGAUUUGAAUUCCGUGACAAAUUCUUUUUUUCCCGUCGCCCCACUCUCCGCCUAACCUAGCAUUUUCUCGAUCUUUUUCGAUAUCGUAUGAUAGGUUCGAUGGUAAUGAUUUCGAAGUGGCAACUUUAUAUCCACGAUCACGACGACAAAAGAAACGCACGCUCGUUUAAUGAGAGAACUCAAAGAGAACUUGUCUCCAGCUUGACGAUACUUCGAGCGGCAACAUCAUCGACCUCCUGGCCACCUUUACGUCCUUCGACGAGUGUGAACGCGCAGGCACCUACGAGAUGAUUCAUGCUCAUGCCUAUCCACGUGGAAAACGAGGAGAGACGGUGGAGCUGUCGAUCAAUGGCCACAACCACAUCCGGACUUAUUGCCGUUUCUAUUCGCUAUUGAAAUCUCUUCUUCUUAUUGAGAAUAACAACAACAAUAACGACAAGAGUAAAAGUGUUCUUUAUACGACGAGAGCUCGUUUUUCUCAAUCGAGGAUGUAUUUAGAAAAAAAAAAGAGAAAACAACAACGACAACAACAAAGCAAGAACAACUUAACAAACUUGAUAAAACAAAAUCGAACUCGUUAAAAUGAAAAAGAUUAAAAAUGGAAAGUAUCGGUAAUUGUAAAAGAGUUUAUUGAUUAAUUUUGAUAAAUGUCUGUAAGGAUAAGAGAGACAUUGGAGGAUGACGUAUAUUGUGCGUCAGGACAGUCAGGGGCGGCCUCGUCUCGUCAAGGGCCCACCGUGCUGCCCGAUCGAGGAGGUAACGACCCGCAGGGUCAAACUCGAUCGGCAGAGAAGGGACGAGGAGAAUGGGUGGGAGAAGAAGCUGUGCAAACUGAGAAAAGGUCCACGCGAACAUACAUACGUAUCGACGUUGAAAAAAGUCGCGAGGGAAACGCGUUGUACGAUCCUCGAUAGUAAGAGACUGCGAGUAGAGUUGAUGGUAGUGGUCGAUGGAGAAGGUGAUGGAGAAGGACCAAGGAGCUUGGUAAAGAAGAGAGGAAAAGAAAGAGAUCUUGCUUCGAGAUGCGAUCGUCGCUCGCGAACGAUCGUCGUCUCCUUCUCGCUGCCUCUGGAUCGUUUCUGCAGAUGGUCGACGUUCCUCGAACUUUUUUACAUUCUUUCCAAUAACCAGAGGACAAUAACAACAGGACGUGGCAAUGCUUGACUUACAAUGACCGAAAAAGUCGUAUCUGGAGUUCCAUUGAGGGAUCGAUUCGACACAAUUCGAUUCGUGCUCGAAAAAUAGGAAAUAGAAGUUAGAAUGGCGGCCAAAGGGAAUACGAGACUUCGAUAAUUCGUCAAAUAAAAUCCGCGACUCCUCGGAGACAUUGCAACAGUGAGAGAACGAAGGAGACAGUAUAUUCAACUUCUGUGAACCAUAAAGGUUUCCGUGUCCUCCCGAGGUUAGUCCAGUUAAAAUGACCGGUUGGUAGAGCGUUGAUAUAUCGUCGAGGAAGCUGACAUAACACACAGCCCUUUUAAAAGGGAACGGCCUUCUGUUUUUGAGAACGUGUCCCACACAGAGAUCGGCAUCUACUUCUCCGGUUUAUCCGAAGCGUGUUGGUUCUCGUCUUACGUUUAGCGCCGGGGGAGUAGAAAGUCUCGUGCUAAGAGUAGUCCUACGAAAGGAAGAAGUAGAUGACGAUGAUGAUGAUGAAGAAGAAAAAGAAGAAAAAGAGGAAGAAGAAGAAAAGAAAGAAAAAGCAAAAGAAGUACGAAAAGGGGUUUCGGAAAUAAGAAGAAGAAAAAGAAGAAGAAGGAACCGACGCGACUCAUGAGAGAAGAAGAAGAAGAAGAAGAAGAAAAGAAAGAACAUCGAGGAACAACGUAAGUGCUCGCGUUCUCGUAUUACGAAGUGCCUUGGCUUACCCUACCAGAGCCCUGUCUAGAUGAUCCCACAACACAUCGUUCGUAUUAAACACGUGUGCGAAAUCACGCAUUAGCGUGAGCAAUAUCGAAAUUCGUGAAAGGGUGCGAUAUUCGGUCGCGUGGGCCCACGCGCCCGCAUUGGCGUAAACGCUAACGAAUAUUUCUAUCGGCGUUAAACGAAAUAAAUCAUCACGUAAAUAUUUCGUAAUACAAUUGUAGUUAAAUCGUUAACGAAUUAACGAACAUAAAAUAGUAUAGUGUAUUUCGUCGAUCGAGUUUAAACACGAUAUACGCGUUUCAUUGAACUUCCUACGAUAUUAUCGUAGGAAAAUACGUAUUAUAUGAAAUAAUACGUUUGAAAUAAAUCCUCGGGAUUUACAUAAGUUCGAUCCCACUGGAUGAGUAUCCGACCGUGGAAUGAGUGAGAUCAAGAGGGGAAGAAGAAGAAGAAAAAAAAAAAAAAGAAAGGAAUUGGAGAGAAUUAAAAGCCGAGCACGGUGUAUAUCAUAGCAGUCGGGGAUUUUUAAAUCGUUCCCGGUUUAUGCUGACAAUGACGCGGUGAUUGCGACAGAUGCGUGGGUCGUUUAUGUCCCUUUAAAAAAGGAAAAAAGAAGAAGAAAAAAAAAAGAAAAAAGGGUAGGGGGACGGACGUUUUCGCACCCCCUUUAGCAGGCUCUAAGCAGCUCGUUCCACGCCCUCCUUUUAACUCGGCUCCGGGGUCCUUCCCUCCU